ACGAUCUGGGCCCCGCAGUGCUAUGCAGCACGAUCUUACUCCAAGGAAGGGGUGCUGGGGGGGACCCCAUGCAAGCAGGGUGGCGUGUGAAGGAGCUGCCUCACUGCAGCAUUCAGCUGGCAGCAGGGGUGCAGGAGGCUCGCAGGCUUAGGGCUGCUGAAAGUCCAACUUUCUCGUUAAAUAUAAACCUGCCACAGCUCUCACCCAGUUAACUGCUCCUGUGGCCGUGGCAAGCCCAUAUCUGACGGGCAAGUGAGGCAGGAUCCUCCCGAGCUGCCUUCUCCCCCUGCCCAGACCUGCGCUGAAAUGGCCGCCAUCCCCCUCGGCUUCAACAUCGACACCCCACGCUGGGACCAGGGCACCUUUGUGGGGCGCCUGCAGCAUUUCCUCAACAUCACCGACCCGCGGACGGUGCUGGUACCAGAGGGGGAGCUGGACCAGGCCAAGACCCUGGUGGAAAGCUGCAGGGCCGGGCUGGUGCCACCAGGAAGCAGCCAGGAGCAGCUGCUCUACGCCAAGAAGCUGUACGACUCGGCCUUCCACCCUGACAGUGGAGAGAAAAUGAACCUCAUCGGGAGGAUGUCCUUCCAGGUGCCGGGGGGCAUGGCCCUCACUGGCUGCAUGCUCCAGUUCUACCGGACGGUGCCCGCAGUGGUUUUCUGGCAGUGGGUGAACCAGUCCUUCAACGCCAUCGUCAACUACACCAACCGCAAUGCCGCCUCCCCCAUCUCGCUGAGGCAAAUUGGGGUAGCUUACGUCACAGCCACCGGUACAGCCCUGGCCACCGCAGUGGGACUCAACCUCUACACCAAGCGAGCCCCCCCCUUGCUGGCCCGCUGGGUCCCCUUCGCGGCUGUGGCUGCUGCCAACUGUGUCAAUAUCCCCAUGAUGCGGCAACAGGAGAUCAUCAACGGGGUCACAGUGACAGACAAGGACAACAACGAGCUCGGCCACUCCAGGAGGGCGGCAGUGAAGGGCAUCGCACAGGUUGUGGUCUCCAGGAUCACCAUGGCGGCACCGGGCAUGAUUAUUUUGCCCAUCAUCAUGGAGCGACUGGAGAAAUUCCCCUUCAUGCAGCGGAUCCGGGUUCUCCACGGGCCUCUGCAGGUGCUGCUCUGUGGGGGCUUCCUCCUGUUCAUGGUUCCGGCAGCCUGUGCCCUGUUCCCGCAGAGAUGGUACCUGUCCCACUGCUUUCCCCUCCUGCGUGAGACCUCGGGAGCCUUCCUCCUCCCCUAGCUCUUCUCUGCCCAUCCCAGGAGAAGCAUGAUGGGCACCCACCCUUCAACCCGAGGCAGCGCUGGUGCCCCAGGCAGCAGGAGAGUCUCCCUUGCACUGGCUGACCUUGAGCCGGAGCUGCGUGAGAGCAUCAUGGCCAAGCAUGGGGACAAAGUGCCGUACGUCUAUUUUAACAAGGGACUGUGAGUGGAGACUACCUCGGGAGCCAUCGCACCCCUCCGGCCCCCUGCCACCACCAGCCUCACAUCCCCUGAGCAGGGCUCAGAGGCACAGUCCAGCCAGAUCUGCCCCCCAGCCCAGCACCAUCUCUGCUGUCUCCUUCCCCUGGAGAGGCAGGAUCUGGCUCUGCGUGCCCAACUUGCAGCACUUUGGCUUCUCCUGAGCCUCUUCCCAUCUGCUGCUGGCCACGUCCCUGCCUCCUAACAUCCUUCUUGCCCUGGGUGAUGGCUGCACUUCCCGUGCCUUCCUCCUGCCCUGCGCAGGAGCGUCUGCCCAGCCUGUCUGAGCCUCACACAGUCACUGGGCUCAGCCCCACGAGGCAUCAGGCUCUCUCCCUUAGGGCUCGGAGCACAGUCCUACCUCUGAAGGCAGAUGCCCUGCCAUCAUACCAGGAACCAAACCACGUUGCUGCCUUAAACCACCACAGUGGCCUCUUACCAAGAGCUGGAUCAUGCCUUGGCAGGUGGGAAGGGACCUGUCCCCUCUGCACAGGGAGCACCCCAAAGUCCAGGGACCAAUGCUUGGACCAUGCCUUCCUUGCUCUCAGGAUCAGGUUUUACUCACUUUGCGGUUGCCACAAUCCAGGAGAGAAAUAACUAAUUGUUUUUAAGCUCUACUUUUUGCAAUCUACCCAUUCCUCUGAGCACGAGAGCCAGCCGUCACCCUUGUCCUGCAUCUCACUGCCCCCGUGGUGGAACCAAGGACCUGCAGCCUUGGGGGACAGUCGACUCUGGGUCCCCUUGGACGGGGGAAGGAGACACAGGAGUCACCAAGCUCUUAACUCAGGCUCUGACCAGCAACACUGCAAGUGACAGAGGAGGGUUGAAAAAUAAAAUGCGGUGAUUUUUUAAAAA